rnacentral:lncRNA from 1 species
UGAACCCUAAUUUAGUAAAUCGUUUUUGCCUAUAUAGUCCCUUCAGUACGGUCGUGGUCAAGCCUGUGCUUAUCAGCACGGGCAGAGUCCAGGCCGUGUUGGAUCUAUGCGUUCAGCAUCUAUUGACCUCUUCCAAGCCGUGCCCUAGCCGGUGCUAAGCCACCACGGGCCGUGGUGGCUACGGUAAUCGUGCCAAAAUUGCACUCUUGGAUGGCAG